CAGUCGCCGCGGGAAUACGAAGGGGGCUAGCGUUGUUCGGAUUUACUGGGCGUAAAGGGCGCGUAGGCGGACUGAUAAGUCAGGGGUGAAAUCCCAAGGCUCAACCUUGGAACUGCCUUUGAUACUGUUUGUCUUGAGUUCGAGAGAGGUAAGUGGAACUGCGAGUGUAGAGGUGAAAUUCGUAGAUAUUCGCAAGAACACCAGUGGCGAAGGCGGCUUACUGGCUCGAAACUGACGCUGAGGCGCGAAAGCGUGGGGAGCAAACAGGAUUAGAUACCCGUGUAGUCCCUGUCUCUUAUAC
rnacentral:rRNA from 1 species